UACAGAGGCCUCGGGCGUUAGGCGGAAUCACUGGGCUUAAAGCGUGUGUAGGCGGAGUGCUAAGUACCUUGUGAAAUCCCACGGCUUAACCGUGGAACUGCUUGGUAUACUGGUUCUCUUGAGCCACCUAGGGGCAGCCGGAACAAACGGUGGAGCGGUGAAAUGCGUAGAUAUCGUUUGGAACGCCAAUGGUGAAAACAGGUUGCUGGGGGUGUGCUGACGCUGAGACACGAAAGCCAGGGGAGCGAACGGG
rnacentral:rRNA from 1 species